rnacentral:tRNA from 1 species
GGAGAGGUGGCCGAGUGGUUUAAGGCACCGGUCUUGAAAACCGGCAGGGGUUUACACCCCUCGUGAGUUCGAAUCUCACCCUCUCCGCCA